CGUUAUGACAAGGCAUGGAGGAAGGUGCCUCUGAGUUACUCAUUACAUUCUUUCUGUCCCAUCAUUGCUGCCUUCCUCAUUACCAGGCUAAUUUCUCCAGGCUCUCUGUGCCACUGCCGUCACACAAUGGAGCCUUUGUGUGUGAAAACACGUGUGUGUGUGUGUGUGUGUGUGUAAGAUGGCUGAGCUCUCAUUCAACUGAAAUGCAACUGUGGUUCAACCUGACCCCAGCAGGUAUUCCUUUUAGCCAUCUGUAAUGCUUUAUGUUCUCACUGUCGCCCUCGAAACUUGUGCAAAACGGUCACCCAAGUGUGUUUCUCUUUCUUUAGUGGGAACUUGUUUGUGGUGAGGUCACCUACCAGCCAAAACGGUUACAGCUAAUUGUCCAGCUGAGCAGAUUCUUUCCCCCGGCCGCAGCAGAACACAGAGGCUCAAGUCCAUUUUCCUGUCUGUUGGAGCUAAAUAGGACUCAGCAACUGACUGAACAGGGAACAGAGAGACAGAAAUAAAGAGCGGCAACAAGGAAGUCUGGAAGGGAGACAGAGCGGCAAGUCGGAUAGCAAAAAGUGGAGGAAAAAAUAAAACAUAAGUUAAGGUGGGUGAGGGCCAAACAAAAUGCAUUGCUGCUGUUCUCGUUCUCAUACAGUCUCCUGUUUAUAAAUAAGUAGUACCGCUGUUACUCCCCUGUCGAGUCGAUUAUAAUGGAAUGUUAAGUCUGUGUUUUCAGGGGAAACGCCACACCAAAAACUUCCCAGCAUCCUUUCUGCUUAGCAAAUGGUGACGCAUCAUACUGCUGACACAAGUCAGCUGAUUUCUGUGUCACGGCAGUGGUUUUAGGCGAGUGGCAGUGCUCCGGCUACAGACGUAGAGACUUUUUUUUCUCCCAGACGCACUGCGGCACAGCCAGACGACUAGAGUGGAGGCACAGGAGCUCACAGCUGCAGUCUACUGGCUUGUUUCGGGGAGGCAGAGGAGCCGAGCACUACCGCCGCUCUUCUACUUUUUGCUGUUGAAGGGUAAUUUUAAUCGGGGAAGAGCAUUCGAAGAGAGUAGAGCUCCAAAAAAUAAGACAAACUCUGAGUCAAACAACUUGGAAUUAACGUCGGUCUCAUUUAUGGACAGAAAAUUUGGAGAAGCGAGCACGGAUCGUGAUUUUUUGGGGUGCUGCUGACGGCAUCGUCUACAAGUACCGGACCAGGUUCCCAGGCUGAGACAAGUCACUGAUAAAAGCUUGGAUUCCAGUGCGUCACCGGUCCGUCCCAUCAUAAACUCGUCCCACCCGAGACGUCCAGUCCGCUGGGCCUGACUGCAUUCCCGUUCGCAUUGACUGGCCAAAGUUGCCGCUCCACUCCAGGGUUAAGGUGGCUUUUGGUCCCAGACUUAGUCCUUGUCCAGAGGGCAGGGCAGAGGCGAACAGAAACAGCGACGCGGCAGCUAAGCUGAGCUCAACCAGACAGACGCAGUGACCUAAAUCAGCCCCAGUCAUGUCUGGACGCAGCCAGAGCGAAGCAGACAGAGAGGAAGACAGAGCGAAAGAGAGAGAGAGAGAGGGAAACAGCGACCCACACAUACUGACUUGAACAUAUACUCACACUAUGGGAUGGAGAGAAAUUAAGGAGGCUGUAAGGGGAGGGGGAGACAGAGUUGUCUCUCUCUCCCUCUCUCGCUCUUUUUUCGCCACCGCUUUAUUUUGUUCCAUUUGCUGGUGUUUAUAUUCACCGUAUGUCUGCGCUGAAUACUGCACAUCGAAACGUAGAGUCGCCGUCCCCCUCACCUCCCCGUUUGCACUUUUGGGUCCAGUAAACGGCUGGAUAAAAGGCGGGCUGAAGUGAGUUGGUCAGAAAGGCCUUGCCAAACCCACAGUCUGGUCUGCUGCUUUGCUACCGCUGUGGUGUUUUGAUGUGCGCUGCUGUGCAGAUGCAGUUUCUGGGCGAUCACCAACAAGCUACCGUACAGAAGGAGACUUUAGUAAAGUAAGGAAUAUCUUUCAAGGUUAGUGUCAAAUCCUAAGGGCACCGUGAUCCAGCUGUUGCUUUAUAGCACAUAUUCAGAUUGCCGGGCCAUGUGGCAUCUGUCCCUGCUUGCUCCGCCAAAAACAGUUCAACAGAAGAGAGGAUGCCCUUGUAAAAAAUGUUGUAUUGAAUGUACAUUUGUAGUGUAUUUUAAAUUGUAAAAGUAUAUAUAUAUAUAUAUAACUUGCAAAUAAUUUUCCAACAAUUAAGCAGCUCUUUACAGCAGAUGGAGCUUGUGAAUUAAUUCUGUUCUGACAUUUUAUAUCAAUUUCCAUAAUAGUAUUAAUAUAUAUAUAUAUAUAUAUAUAUAUAUAUAUAUAUAUAAAUAUGGGUACAUUAUUUCUGUGCUCCAUUAAUGAUGAAAGACUAGAGACACCUCUGAUUGUUGAAGUAAGUACUCUUUUUAAAAGUAUGCUAAAGUGUAGUUAUUUUUCAAGGGUGUGCAUGUUCCAACUUAUUCCCUUUAAUUGAUAAGGACAGUCAAAUUCUUCCUUACACUAGAAAUCUACUGGACUUCCUCAUGUUCGUCCAAUUACUAUGCUUACCAGUGUUUUAUAUUUGCAGUCGGAUCAGUUUGAAUGCCCACGUCUGCAGACGGAAAUGCAUGAGCCAGCCUUCAGAUGACCUCGCACCAUAUCGUUCAGCUUAUACAACAAGUCCAUUAUGGGUAUUAUUCAGUAGUCUAGCCUAACAGAUACCGGCUGCUCCAACUAUAUGAUGCGCGCUGUGUUAUUGUGUUCUGCCAGUCUGCAGCGCACGAAUAAACACUUCACCAGACUGAUGAAAAGACCCCAAAACCAUAAGAACAAAAUGUACAAAUAGGGACAGAAAGCAAAGGCAAUAAAUCUGAAAGCAUUGAGAGCUUCCUGAGAACAGACAAGCAAUGAAAGGUUAUUCAGACACCUGUUCGGUUUGAAAAUAUGACUUUUCUUUCACACUUUUUUAUUUUAUUUUAUUUUUGCAAGCCUUGCAAUACAAGAGGUCGGGAUUGUUGCCUAUAACCUACGAAAAAGAGAGAGCGAUGCUGUCAUUGAAGUGCAGGGCCUAUGAGGGUCUAUAUCACUGGUUGUUUAUGUGUUGAUCUGCCCGGAGGUGGUCCACCAUCAAACCGAAUUCAAAAGAAGUCCCCUCUGCUUGAUCUUAUCACAAAUUGCAUGGAGCCCCGUGCUACUGGAGCAGAAUGAUUGGUGCUGCAGGGCCAAACAUCCUCCCUGCUCUCCAUCAACGGAGAGUAGGACAAAAUGUUUUCUACAACAUGAGUUCUGCUUGCACAAGCAACACAUAAGUCACCUCUGCAUAUAAACACAUACUGACACAGAAACACACCCCCAUGUUGUUCACUUCGAGUAAGAUUCUGUAUGUAAGUUAUACAUAGUGAGUUCAAUUACUUUCUGAGUGAUGCAUUACUACAUACUGUGUUCAAGAAAUUUGCUUAUUACUGUUGUUUAAAAAUGAUACUAAAGGCUACAGCACAUGAGAUGACAAACUCUGUUGUUCACAAUCAAGCAUUUUUCUUCUUUAUUUCAGUAAGAAAAUCCUGCUCCAGUGUGGCACAAGUCAUGGAGGAAGACAGGGCUUUGGAAGGAGAAAGAAAACCUUUGUUUUUGUUUUUCUGUCCAUGGAGAAGUAUGUGAAGGCAUUAAUUGAUAAUGUCUCUCCAAGAAACAUAAAUGUUGUUGGGAAAGCUAUUUAUUAGCUUGCCAAGGUAGUUCAACUCUAUAAGAAAGCAAGCAAAAAGAACUUAUCUAUAUCGACUGAAGCUACUUAGUUCAUUAUUCACUCACCCUCGUGUCAUUCAAAACCUGUAUUUCUUUUCUUCUUCUGUGUGACUUUUGGGUUUUGAAAAUCAGUAGGAACCAAAGAGUUUUUGUAACCAUUGACUACCAUUAUCUGGUCUAAAAAAAACAUACAUUUAUCAAAAUAUCUUAUUUUUGUACAAUGAGAGUAAACAUAUCAAACAUACACUACUGAUUAAAGUUUGGGUGUCGCUAAGAUAAUUAGUAGUAGUAGAAAUAUCUUAUGUCUUUAAUAUUUUUAUUCUCACCAAAGUGAAAUUUAAUGUUAUAAAUUGUAAUAUUUAAACAUCACAAUUUAAACACAUAACACAUUGUUUCCGUUUACGCCUUUAAAAAUAAAAUUUAUUCCUGUGCACAGUAAUAUUUAUGCUGUAUAAAUAGAAAUAAGCCAUAGAUGCAAUAAUUAUGCUCCAUACUUUUAAGUGGUUGUAUACAUUUUAAUAAAAAUAAAUAAAAACUAGAAUACAACCUAAUUUGUAUAACUUAACAGCAGCAUUUACCCAAAUAUUUUGAUAGAAUUUUUUUUAUUUUUUUUUUAUUUAUUUUUUUGCUGUUCAUUCACAAGACUGCUCUACUGUCACUGAUUAAUGCAGUUAAGUCAUUGUCACUGUGGAAUACGAUAUGUGUCUGAACAUUCCCUAUGCUGGUGUAUUUUUCCUUAACACCAAUGCCUCUCUUACACUCAUAACCCUACGUGCCACAUCCUGCAAGAGGAUUUUAAAGAUUCCGUGCAAUUUUCAAUAAUGUUCCGCGGGUCCAAUAACUCCAGGUCCACAGAGGCCACUGAAUCAGCAUUUCAAAGAGAAACUCCUUUCCACAAAGACCUUUCAAUUGAAAUAGUAAUCGAAAAAAAGUUUCUUCUUCCCAGUCUUAUGGGCUCAACUCUGAUUGACCCCUCUCAAUCUGUGCCUCUCUGUUGUAAAGAACAGGCAUAAAAUAAGUCAGAGUUAAUAGAGUUUAAGACUAAAAGCCAAACCGCAUUGGAAUAGGAAGAAGAUGGAAAGAGUCAAGGGAGGGAGAGGGACUGAGGCAGAGAGAGAUUGAGCAAAGAGAGAAGAGAGAUAGAGAGAGAGAGAUCCCUAAGGGAUGGGGAUUGGGUCUGGGCUGCCUGAGGACAGUCUCGCCUCUAAUUGGCUGAAUGCCUCCGCUCGGAAUUCCCACAAUGCCUUGUGUUUCAGUGACUUUCUCUAAACUCUCAGUGGACUCUUCAAGGUUACCGUCACUCUUCCGUGUUAUCGCUGCACUCUAAGCCACUGUAGAAAAUCUGUUUUCAGCGUAGCCAUGAAGGAUUUCUGAGAAUAGCUGAAUAUUCAAAACCAAAAUGGGUGAUCAUUCGCCUCAAAUGACACACAUACAGCUUUUUCAACUUUUGUGAUAUAUUUCACUCAGCACCACAAUAAAACAGGCAUUGGGUGAAUAUAAAAUCGGAUUAGAGUGAAACAUUGAAGGUGAACAAUAACUAGAUUUUCUUAUGUAUAUGUUUUGUUUUUACAGCCGUCAGCGUCGUGCUGCGACUGAAUUGUAUCUGCAUUAAUCUUGCCGUCUUCCUCACAAACAGACUGUUGUAUGUAUCAAAUAAAGAGGAUGUAAUGAAAAGCAUGCCCUUGAAUCCUACAGCCACCGAGGUGUCUUUUCACUUCCAUUGCUGCACAGAGAAUCUGCCUUUUUGCUUUCCUUCCAGCAUCGCCAAAGAUAACCGAAUAACAUCUUGUGUGAAUCAAAGUGGAAUCAAAUAAAGAAAUCAUCUCUA